rnacentral:rRNA from 1 species
AGUGAACGCUGGCGGUAGGCCUAACACAUGCAAGUCGAACGGCAGCACAGUAAGAGCUUGCUCUUACGGGUGGCGAGUGGCGGACGGGUGAGGAAUACAUCGGAAUCUACUUUUUCGUGGGGGAUAACGUAGGAAAACUUACGCUAAUACCGCAUACGACCUACGGGUGAAAGCAGGGGAUCUUCGGACCUUGCGCGAUUGAAUGAGCCGAUGUCGGAUUAGCUAGUUGGCGGGGUAAAGGCCCACCAAGGCGACGAUCCGUAGCUGGUCUGAGAGGAUGAUCAGCCACACUGGAACUGAGACACGGUCCAGACUCCUACGGGAGGCAGCAGUGGGGAAUAUUGGACAAUGGGCGCAAGCCUGAUCCAGCCAUACCGCGUGGGUGAAGAAGGCCUUCGGGUUGUAAAGCCCUUUUGUUGGGAAAGAAAAGCAGCAGGUUAAUACCCCGCUGUUCUGACGGUACCCAAAGAAUAAGCACCGGCUAACUUCGUG